CUAUCUGCAGGAGCUAAUAAGGAAAGGCAUUCCUCAUCAUUUCCGAGCGAUCGUUUGGCAGUUAUUAUGUAAUGCCACUGACAUGCCAGUAAAGAAUCAGUAUUCUGAACUCUUAAAGAUGUCCUCACCCUGUGAAAAACUCAUACGCAGAGAUAUUGCCCGCACAUAUCCAGAACAUGACUUCUUCAAAGGCCAGGACAGCCUGGGACAGGAAGUUCUGUUUAAUGUCAUGAAGGCAUAUUCUCUGGUUGAUCGUGAGGUUGGUUAUUGUCAGGGCAGUGCCUUCAUCGUAGGAUUGCUACUUAUGCAGAUGCCGGAGGAGGAGGCUUUCUGUGUGUUUGUCAGACUGAUGCAGGAGUACAGGCUUAGAGAGUUGUUUAAACCCAGCAUGGCUGAACUGGGUCUGUGCAUCUACCAGUUUGAGCACUUGCUACAGGAGCAGUUGCCAGAGCUGAACGUUCAUUUCCGUUCUCAGAGUUUUCAUACAUCUAUGUACGCCUCGUCCUGGUUUCUCACACUCUUCCUCACCUUCCUGCCCCUUCCAAUAGCUACACGUAUCUUUGACAUCUUUAUGUAUGAGGGUUUGGAGAUCAUAUUCCGAGUCGGAAUAGCGAUAUUGCAGUACAACCAGACAGACCUCAUACAGCUAGACAUGGAGGGAAUGUCACAGCACUUUCAGAAGGUGAUUCCGCAUCAGUUUGAUAGCUGCCCGGAUAAACUGAUCCUACGGGCUUAUCAAGUCAAAUACAAUCCCAAAAGAAUGAAAAAGUUAGAAAAGGAAUAUACCACUAUCAAGAACAAAGAGAUGGAGGAACAGAUAGAAAUUAAGAGACUACGUACAGAAAAUAGACUACUGAAGCAGAGGAUUGAGACACUGGAAAAAGAGAGUGCUGCUUUGGCAGACAGGUUGAUUCAGGGUCAGGUGACUCGAGCCCAGGAGGCCGAGGAGAACUAUGUUAUCAAGCGCGAACUGGCUGUGGUUCGGCAACAGUGUUACACAGCCAGUGAGAGUCUGGAGAAGGCGCAAGACACCAUACGUGAACUUCAGCAACACAAGUAUACAGAGGAGUUUGUGAGUGGGCUGCAGACUCAGUUAGAACAGUCUCGUCUACAGGAGGCUGAACUACUCGGUGCUUUGAAGGAAAUGCAGGACAAAGUGCUCGAUCUGGAAAAGAGGAACAGCUCUUUGCCUGAUGAAAUCAAUGUAGCUCAGCUGCAGGAGGAGCUGAAGCUGGUGAAACUGAGAGAGCAGGAGACUCUACGCUCCUUUAGAGAGAUGCAAGAGGCCGUUACUGAUCUCAACCACUGCUGGCAGCAUCAUACGUCUCGUGGAGGAGGAGGUCACUGGAAAGAGUCUCCUAAAAAGAAUGCACUGAAUGAGCUACAGGACAAGCUGAUGAGUCUGAGACUGCGAGAGGCUCAGGGUCAAGCUGAGCUCAAAGAGGUCAAACUUAAAAACCUGCAGCUGGAGAGCCAGAACCAGAUCAACUGUAAACUAGUUGUCAGACAUGAGCAAGAAAGUGCCAGCCUGCAGGAGAGACUGCAGAACGCUCUUUCUCACAACAAAACACUACAAAGCCAGCUCAACGAAAUGAAGAGAAAGAUGGCCGAGUCUGACUGCAAGAGCAAAGAGGAGGUGAUGGCGGUCCGUCUAAGAGAAGCUGACAGCAUGGCCGCAAUGGCUGAACUCCGGCAAAAGAUUGCCGAGCUAGAAAUACAGAAAGAGGAGGGUUUGAUCCAAGGCCAGCUGAAUCACUCAGACUCCAGACAGUAUAUAACUGAACUGAGACAGCAGAUCGCCGAACUCAAGAGCGAGAUCAGGCAGCUGCGUGGACAGCCUUCCAAGUUCCAAAAUACUGGUGGUGGCGUUUAUCAGGACCUGUGUUUGGAAAGCCCAGCGUCUGCAGAAGGUGAUUACCUCAGUUCGGACGAGGACCCUCUUCAGAGCCACCUGCCUGUGAGCUCCCUGUAUCCGCACCACUCGUCACCUCGUCUGGACAGUCAAGGCAGCACGGACAGCGACGGCGAGGAAAGGAACCCCAUUCAGACUCCCUGCCAAGACCCUCUGCCUACCCAGCAGCAGCUUUACCCGAGUAUGGUGUGCGCCGAAGCACUCGAGAACUGAGAUUGCUUGAAAUGGUGAGACGAGAUGGACGGAAACCUUUAGGAAUAGACUGCACAAAAUGCACACACAUAUAGCGUGAGAGAGAGAUUAUGUACAUCCACCCAGAAGCUGUCAGAGGACUGAAUUCGGAGUUCUGUGUAACAAAACAUACAUGCAUACAGAAGGCAAACUGUCCUCUUCUCAGAGUGCCAGAAAGUUCGGCCAUUUUUGCCAUUUUCUCUUUUCAAAGAAAACAGUGUGGCCUUGAAACUACCUCUGAUUUAUCCAGACACUCACUGAAUCCCUGUGAGCAUACCAACUUCACCAAUACAACAGCCAUCUGGCUUGAAAUGAGGUGACAGAAGAGAGAAAAACCAAGUAGGAAACACCUUCAGGUGUACUGAAAGUUUGCAGCACCCUAUCACAUCAUGGGAUUGUCUUUCACGCUCAGUUGGCGUCAAACGUAGAGACCAUCUCUGCUGUUUGCCUCUCUCAGCCUGGACGUUCUUCGUUUUUUUUUUGUUGUUGUUGUUUUGUUUUGGUCGUGUUCCUGUGGAGAGGAUUUGCACCUUUUAUGUUUAUCUCAAACGCAACAGACACUACAAUCACUUUAAUGAGAGCUGAAAGCUGAAGCAGAGAAAACACAAACGAAGUCUUAUUAUAUAACAUAAUAGGGAUGUUAAUAGUUACAUACAUAGAUGAAUAUUACCGUAGCUCAUCCAUGUAUUUGUGUGUGUUUUAUACAAAACAAAAGUGAUCAAAAUUUGGAAUGGAAAAUAUCCAUUGCAAAAGAAAACUGUCAACAUUGCCAAAUGUUUUUUUUAUGUUAUUUAUAUGUUUCUUUCUUUUAUGUUUUUUAAUGUACAUGUACUUCAUGCAGAGGCCAAACUAUUUAAUUUAUACUAUUCUUCUGUGCCAAUCCUGAACAACAGCAUGAAGCUGAAACAACAGGGUCUCCAGAAAAGAGAUUAGUUUUAAAAAAAGGGUAAAGAAAAGAAAAACAACUGCUGCUAUGACAUAUCUAGUUAGUUAUUUUAUUAUUAUUAUUAUUAUUAACCCCUCUCCCAUGUAAGGUAGAACUAUAAGUCCAAGAUAUACUGUGAAGUUAUUAUUGACACGACGCUUACCAGCAAUGAGUUGCCUAGACCUCAAGCAACUAUGCGAUAUUGAUUUGCAUUUCACAACUAUUAAGUCAGAUUUAGAUUUUUAUAGGUUUGUGCUGGUUCUAAAGCAACUUCCGGAAGACUGUAGCUCUAAGUCGUCUUCGUUUGUUAGGCGAAAAGCUCGCUUGCAUUUGACUGAACUACGGACGGUUUACAAACAAACGUAACUGCUACACUAAAUUACAGUCAGUUCACAAAAUAAUGUGAGGUUUUGUAUAUAUACGUAUGUUAUACAAAUAUUUCAUACUUGUAACAGUUUUCUUCCUUUUAAUCGAGUUUGGUCACUUUAAUUUUUUACCCACUAUUUCGUAACCUGUCUUGAAGACUUCCAUCUUACUCAGUACUGUCUACGAUGCUGUGUUUGUCUGACCACACAUGCUGCAUCAGUGUCAUUGCCUUUCCCCACCACUGCCUCAUUUUGCUAAAGCUCGUCGGGCGUUGCAUUUAUCAAACAUGUUACAUGUUUACAUGACUUUCUGAGAGCGAUACAUUGCCGACAUUUGCACCCUUUAACGUUUAUCGACAAAAACCAGUGAGAAGCUGCUCUCAGUCAUAUCUUAUGACAGUAUGAUGCAUUACAAGACAUUUCGGAAGAAGUAUUUACAGUAUAUUACAUCAAAACCAUUUAUGUGUGUUUAUAAAGCUCCUUUUGAGUGGUUGUGAGUUUUCAAGGUUACCUAGGGUUGCUGUUUUAACCUACCACAGUGUUGUAUUGACUAAAGUUUGUUUUUUGUCCAACGCAAAAUAGUUUAUCAAUGUUUCGUGUGAAACCACUUGCUAUUUUUCCCUUGAUCAAACAUGAGCUUGAGAUUUUAAUAUUGUUUCAUAUUGCACUAGCAUUAUCUCUGCUAGCGCUUUACUCUGAUUUAGCACAUCCUUCCUGUUCCCCAGUGACCUCUGUAACAUUUAAAACCAUCCACAAACCGGUUUCAGAAGGGUGUACGGUUUAUGAACCGUGUUCUUUACAAGAAAAGCAGCAAGUAAAGGAAGUCACUUUGCACCUCUUGUGUCUUUCUGAUCUUUAAAGGCAAACCUCAGAGGGUCUCUGAAGUUGGUCGAGCUUUAUCAAGUAGUUGUUUUACCAACAUUUGUUCCGGUUUGGGGCUGUUGGAUUUCAAAUAGUCGAAGGGAACUUUCUUCACAACUUGAUUACAAAACGCAACGGUUUUGUGGUGUGAGUUUUAGCUUCUGAAGAAUAUUUGCUAAUAGGAAAUCAGAAAUGGCUGUUUUGAAAUGAACUUCGGAUGAGAGGUGUGUUGUUCAGUGAGUCGAUUUUGUUUAAAAGAAAAAGUCAGUCUUAUUAGACUUCAUUUACCGUUACCCGACCAGGAAUUAGAUGGCUAAUAUGGUCAAACACAUUUCUGUCUCACAUUGAGCUCUAAUUUCACAUUCAGAAUGGCUGAAUUAUGUUCUAAUCCGUGGGAGAAGAAAAAAAGAUGAAUGAAAAAUGUUUUGGUGAUAAUAAUAUCAGUACUUUGUGGUAUUAUGAGUCAGUUUUCCCUGCAUUAAGUCUGUCACAUACCUCAGAACAUGUUAUCGCUGUUUCAGUUGAAGCUGAAUAAUUUUAUAUGCUGUUAUCUGUUAUCAUCCUUUCUUUUUUUGUAGUCUUUUUAAUGUCAGUUUUUAUCUCUCACUCUGAUAUUGUUGUUUAAAGGUUGGCAUGUCAGCGAUAAUCAUAAUGAAACCGUUAAUGCUUCUAUGUAAGAUAUGUUUUAGUUACAGUAGACAACCUAACUACAACAGAAUGCAUAAAUGUACACUUUUAUGCAUGGGCUUGAAGAAAAUCACUACUUAUCAUAUUAUUUAAUGCCUCCAUUGGGUUUUUUUUUAUAUUGUAGUAUACUAAAUCAUUGCAGACAAAACUGUCCUUUUUUGUUAAUGUGGAGAUGGAUGCAUAAAUUAAGGAAAAUAAUAUUUGUAUAUAGCGCAUGUAAUGUCAUUCAAUUGUUACAAGCAUACAAAAAAAAAUGUGCUUGAUGUAUGUACUGUAUUUAGUGUUUUCAUUCAGAUGUUGCUAUUUCAAACACUGUGUGUAUUAAAACAGCAACCCCAACCCUAAAAGCAAAGGUCCAUAUUUCAUACACAUCACAUUAUGCUUUCAGGUGUAGCCAUAGGAAAUAAAUGGUCGGUGAGGGCGUGAGGUCAUAACGCAGAGGCUGAUGGGACAUCACCUCCUCUAUAGUGCUCCAACAGCUGCCUUACCUCCUUUCACCAGUACGUAAAUGUCCAGUAGUCUCCCCAUGACACCCAUCAUCAGCCCACAUCCUCUCUCUCCUACAGUUUUACUGAUGUGUUAUUAAGAAUGACAGUACUAAAGAUUAUAUAAAUGGCAAUGUUAUCAAAUGAUGAUCCAGUGUUCUGUAUUUGAUGAUAAAUAAAAUGUAUUUAAAAAAAAUAAACAUUUAUGCUAUACAUUCGCAAAGUUCAAA